ACGCUGGCGGCAGGCCUAACACAUGCAAGUCGAGCGGUAGAGAGAAGCUUGCUUCUCUUGAGAGCGGCGGACGGGUGAGUAAUGCCUAGGAAUCUGCCUGGUAGUGGGGGAUAACGUCCGGAAACGGACGCUAAUACCGCAUACGUCCUACGGGAGAAAGCAGGGGACCUUCGGGCCUUGCGCUAUCAGAUGAGCCUAGGUCGGAUUAGCUAGUUGGUGGGGUAAUGGCUCACCAAGGCGACGAUCCGUAACUGGUCUGAGAGGAUGAUCAGUCACACUGGAACUGAGACACGGUCCAGACUCCUACGGGAGGCAGCAGUGGGGAAUAUUGGACAAUGGGCGAAAGCCUGAUCCAGCCAUGCCGCGUGUGUGAAGAAGGUCUUCGGAUUGUAAAGCACUUUAAGUUGGGAGGAAGGGCAGUAAAUUAAUACUUUGCUGUUUUGACGUUACCGACAGAAUAAGCACCGGCUAACUCUGUGCCAGCAGCCGCGGUAAUACAGAGGGUGCAAGCGUUAAUCGGAAUUACUGGGGCGUAAAACGCGCGUAGGUGGUUCGUUAAGUUGGAUGUGAAAUCCCCGGGCUCAACCUGGGAACUGCAUUCAAAACUGACGAGCUAGAGUAUGGUAGAGGGUGGUGGAAUUUCCUGUGUAGCGGUGAAAUGCGUAGAUAUAGGAAGGAACACCAGUGGCGAA
rnacentral:rRNA from 1 species